rnacentral:rRNA from 1 species
UCAAGCGAGAAAGGGCGCACGGUGGAUGCCUUGGCGCCGGGUGGCGACGAAGGGCGCAGCGAGCUGCGAAAAGCCUCGGGUAGCCGCAAGCAGGCGUAGAUCCGGGGAUACCCGAAUGGGGGAACCCAUCACAGGUAAUACUGUGAUAUCCUGUACCGAACACAUAGGUAUAGGAGGCGAUACCGGGGGAACUGAAACAUCUAAGUACCCCGAGGAGAAGAAAGAAACCUCGAUUCCCUAAGUAGCGGCGAGCGAACGGGGAGAAGCCCAAACCCUGCAUGAGUAAUAGGCUGCAUCCGUUUCAUGCAGGGGGUUGUGGGGUUAUCAGUGGAUAGGAUGCAGACUAUCCGCCGUCUAAGCCGACAGUUAGUAGAAGGAGUCUGGAACGGCCCACCAUAGAGGGUAACAGUCCCGUAUACGAAAACUGAAGGCAGCGGUAAGAUAGCCCCGAGUACCACGGGGCACGAGGAACCCUGUGGGAAUCCGGGAGGCCCACCUCCCAAGGCUAAAUACAACCCGGCGACCGAUAGCGAACAAGUACCGUGAGGGAAAGGUGAAAAGCACCCCGGUGAGGGGAGUGAAACAGAACCUGAAACCGUGUGUCUACAAGCAGUGGGAGCCCCACACGAGGGCGACCGCGUACUUUUUGUAGAACGGACCGGCGAGUUGCGGUAUCUAGCGAGGUUAAGGUGCAGAGCACCGGAGCCGAAGCGAAAGCGAGUCCUAACAGGGCGUAUAGUUAGGUAUCGCAGACCCGAAACCGGGUGAUCUACCUAUGGCCAGGGUGAAGCGGAAGUAAAGUUUCGUGGAGGCCCGAACCGUGUUGACGUUGAAAAGUCAUGGGAUGAGCUGUGGGUAGGGGUGAAAUGCCAAUCGAACCCGGAGAUAGCUGGUUCUCCCCGAAAUAGCUUUAGGGCUAGCCUCAACAGAAAGAGUGAUGGAGGUAGAGCACUGAAUGGGCUAGGGGCCCGACAAGGUUACCGAACCCUAUCAAACUCCGAAUGCCAUCACUUGUUAGUUGGGAGUCAGACUAUGGGAGAUAAGUUUCAUAGUCGAGAGGGAAACAGCCCAGACCGUCAGCUAAGGUCCCCAAGUAUAGGCUAAGUGGCAAAGGAUGUGGGAUUGCCCAGACAACCAGGAUGUUGGCUUAGAAGCAGCCAUUCAUUUAAAGAGUGCGUAAUAGCUCACUGGUCAAGUGAUCCUGCGCCGAAAAUGUAGCGGGGCUCAAGCCUAUCACCGAAGCUGCGGGUACGAGAGUGCGGUAGGGGAGCGUUGUAUAGCCGUCGAAGUCAGACCGAAAGGGCUGGUGGAGGGUAUACAAGAGCGAAUGCCGGUAUAAGUAGCGAGAGGCAGGUGAGAAACCUGCCCGCCGGAAGCCUAAGGUUUCCUGAGGAAGGUUUGUCCUCUCAGGGUAAGCCGGGGCCUAAGCCGAGGCGUAGAGCGUAGGCGAUGGACAAUCGGUUGAGAAUCCGAUGCCACCUACUAACCGCAACGAGCGAAGGGGUGACACAGGAGGGUAGGUCAAGCGUGUGAUUGGUGGUACACGUCCAAGCCAUUAGGGAGCGGGGGCAGGCAAAACCGUUUCCGCGAUAAUCCUGAGUGGUGAUGGGGAGUGAAAAUUAAAGUAACGAAGUGACCGAUCCCAUACUGUUUAAAAAAGCCUCUAGCCAGGUUAGGGGUGCCCGUACCGCAAACCGACACAGGUAGGCAGGGAGAGAAUCCCGAGGCGACCGGGAGAACCCUCGUUAAGGAACUCGGCAAACUGACCCCGUAACUUCGGGAGAAGGGGUGCCCGAGUAGCGUAUGGUAUAACUAUAUGCGAAAGGGCCGCAGAGAAUAGGCCCAAGCGACUGUUUAGCAAAAACACAGGUCUCUGCCAAGGAGAAAUCCGACGUAUAGGGGCUGACGCCUGCCCGGUGCUGGAAGGUUAAGGGGAAGGCUUAGCGCAAGCGAAGGUCUGAACCGAAGCCCCAGUGAACGGCGGCCGUAACUAUAACGGUCCUAAGGUAGCGAAAUUCCUUGUCGGGUAAGUUCCGACCCGCACGAAAGGCGUAACGACUUGGGCGCUGUCUCGACGAGGGGCCCGGCGAAAUUGUAGUACUCGUGAAGAUGCGAGUUACCCGCGACAAGACGGAAAGACCCCGUGGAGCUUUACUGCAGCCUGACAUUGGAUCUUGGCAUUACAUGUACAGGAUAGGUGGGAGACGGAGAGCCUGGGCCGCCAGGUUCAGGGGAGUCGCCCUUGGGAUACCACUCUUGUAGUGCUGGGGUUCUAACCAUAUGCCGUAAGCCGGUAUUGGGACAUUGUCAGGUGGGCAGUUUGACUGGGGCGGUCGCCUCCCAAAGAGUAACGGAGGCGCCCAAAGGUUACCUCAGUGCGGUCGGGAAUCGCGCGUAGAGUGUAAAGGCAGAAGGUAGCCUAACUGUGAGAGAGACAUCUCGAGCAGAGUCGAAAGACGGGCUUAGUGAUCCGGCGGUAUCGAGUGGAAGAGCCGUCGCUCAACGGAUAAAAGCUACCCCGGGGAUAACAGGCUUAUCUCCCCCAAGAGUCCACAUCGACGGGGAGGUUUGGCACCUCGAUGUCGGCUCGUCGCAUCCUGGGGCUGGAGUAGGUCCCAAGGGUUGGGCUGUUCGCCCAUUAAAGCGGUACGCGAGCUGGGUUCAGAACGUCGUGAGACAGUUCGGUCCCUAUCUGUCGCGGGCGUAGGAAACUUGAGGGGAGCUGCCCUUAGUACGAGAGGACCGGGGUGGACGGACCGCUGGUGUACCAGUUGUCCCGCCAGGGGCACAGCUGGGUAGCCAUGUCCGGCAGGGAUAAGCGCUGAAGGCAUCUAAGCGCGAAGCCCCCCCCAAGAUUAGGUUUCCCACUCCUUAGGAGGUAAGACCCCAGGUAGAUUACCUGGUCGAUAGGUCGGAGGUGUAAGUGCAGCAAUGCAUUCAGCUGACCGAUACUAAUAGGUCGAGGGCUUGACCU